rnacentral:rRNA from 1 species
CCUACGGGAGGCAGCAGUGAGGAAUAUUGGUCAAUGGGCGAGAGCCUGAACCAGCCAAGUCGCGUGAGGGAGUACUGCCCUAUGGGUUGUAAACCUCUUUUGUCGGGGAGCAAAAGCCGGACGUGUCCGGCUGUGAGAGUACCCGAAGAAAAAGCAUCGGCUAACUCCGUGCCAGCAGCCGCGCUAAUACGGAGGAUGCGAGCGUUAUCCGGAUUUUUGGGGUUUAAGGGGUGCGCAGGGGGAUUUUUAAGUCAGGGGAAAAAUCGGGGGGCUAAACCCCGACAGGCCGUGAAAACUGGGGACUGGAGUGUGGGAGGGGGAAGGGGAAUGCGUGGUGUAGGGGUGAAAUGCCAAGAUAAC